rnacentral:rRNA from 1 species
UGGGGAAUAUUGGACAAUGGGCGAAAGCCUGAUCCAGCCAUGCCGCGUGUGUGAAGAAGGUCUUCGGAUUGUAAAGCACUUUAAGUUGGGAGGAAGGGCUUAAGGCUAAUAUCCUUGAGUUUUGACGUUACCGACAGAAUAAGCACCGGCUAACUCUGUGCCAGCAGCCGCGGUAAUACAGAGGGUGCAAGCGUUAAUCGGAAUUACUGGGCGUAAAGCGCGCGUAGGCGGUUUGGUAAGUUGAAUGUGAAAGCCCCGGGCUCAACCUGGGAACUGCAUCCAAAACUGCCAGGCUAGAGUACAGUAGAGGGUGGUGGAAUUUCCUGUGUAGCGGUGAAAUGCGUAGAUAUAGGAAGGAACACCAGUGGCGAAGGCGACCACCUGGACUGAUACUGACGCU